rnacentral:rRNA from 1 species
CCUACGGGACGCAGCAGUGGGGAAUAUUGCACAAUGGGCGCAAGCCUGAUGCAGCCAUGCCGCGUGUGUGAAGAAGGCCUUCGGGUUGUAAAGCACUUUCAGCGAGGAGGAAGGUGGUGAGCUUAAUACGCUCAUCAAUUGACGUUACCCGCAGAAGAAGCACCGGCUAACUCCGUGCCAGCAGCCGCGGUAAUACGGAGGGUGCAAGCGUUAAUCGGAAUUACUGGGCGUAAAGCGCACGCAGGCGGUUUGUUAAGUCAGAUGUGAAAUCCCCGGGCUCAACCUGGGAACUGCAUUUGAAACUGGCAAGCUAGAGUCUCGUAGAGGGGGGUAGAAUUCCAGGUGUAGCGGUGAAAUGCGUAGAGAUCUGGAGGAAUACCGGUGGCGAAGGCGGCCCCCUGGACGAAGACUGACGCUCAGGUGCGAAAGCGUGGGGAGCAAACAGGAUUAGAUACCCUCGUAGUC